GACGAACGCUGGCGGCGUGCUUAACACAUGCAAGUCGAACGAAGUGGCGAACGGGUGAGUAACGCGUAAUCAACCUGCCCUUCAGAGGGGGACAACAGUAGGAAACGACUGCUAAUACCGCAUACAGAAGGAGGGGAUUGCGUCGGAUUAGCUAGUUGGCGGGGAGACGGCCCACCAAGGCGAUGAUCAGUAGCCGGUCCGGGAAGAUGAACGGCCACAUUGGGACUGGGACAAGGCCCAGACUCCUACGGGAGGGAGCAGGGGGGAAUCUUCCGCAAUGGAGGAAAGUCUGACGGAGCAACGCCGCGUGAGUGGUGACGGCCUUCGGGUUGUAAAGCUCUGUUAAUCGGGACGCGGUACCGGAAUAGAAAGCCACGGCUAACUACGUGCCAGCAGCCGCGGUAAUUC
rnacentral:rRNA from 1 species